rnacentral:rRNA from 1 species
UGCAAGUAGAACGCUGAAGAGAGGAGCUUGCUCUUCUUGGAUGAGUUGCGAACGGGUGAGUAACGCGUAGGUAACCUGCCUUGUAGCGGGGGAUAACUAUUGGAAACGAUAGCUAAUACCGCAUAACAAUGGAUGACACAUGUCAUUUAUUUGAAAGGGGCAAUUGCUCCACUACAAGAUGGACCUGCGUUGUAUUAGCUAGUAGGUGAGGUAAUGGCUCACCUAGGCGACGAUACAUAGCCGACCUGAGAGGGUGAUCGGCCACACUGGGACUGAGACACGGCCCAGACUCCUACGGGAGGCAGCAGUAGGGAAUCUUCGGCAAUGGGGGCAACCCUGACCGAGCAACGCCGCGUGAGUGAAGAAGGUUUUCGGAUCGUAAAGCUCUGUUGUAAGUCAAGAACGGGUGUGAGAGUGGAAAGUUCACACUGUGACGGUAGCUUACCAGAAAGGGACGGCUAACUACGUGCCAGCAGCCGCGGUAAUACGUAGGUCCCGAGCGUUGUCCGGAUUUAUUGGGCGUAAAGCGAGCGCAGGCGGUUUGAUAAGUCUGAAGUUAAAGGCUGUGGCUCAACCAUAGUUCGCUUUGGAAACUGUCAAACUUGAGUGCAGAAGGGGAGAGUGGAAUUCCAUGUGUAGCGGUGAAAUGCGUAGAUAUAUGGAGGAACACCGGUGGCGAAAGCGGCUCUCUGGUCUGUAACUGACGCUGAGGCUCGAAAGCGUGGGGAGCGAACAGGAUUAGAUACCCUGGUAGUCCACGCCGUAAACGAUGAGUGCUAGGUGUUGGAUCCUUUCCGGGAUUCAGUGCCGCAGCUAACGCAUUAAGCACUCCGCCUGGGGAGUACGACCGCAAGGUUGAAACUCAAAGGAAUUGACGGGGGCCCGCACAAGCGGUGGAGCAUGUGGUUUAAUUCGAAGCAACGCGAAGAACCUUACCAGGUCUUGACAUCCCGAUGCUAUUUCUAGAGAUAGAAAGUUACUUCGGUACAUCGGUGACAGGUGGUGCAUGGUUGUCGUCAGCUCGUGUCGUGAGAUGUUGGGUUAAGUCCCGCAACGAGCGCAACCCCUAUUGUUAGUUGCCAUCAUUCAGUUGGGCACUCUAGCGAGACUGCCGGUAAUAAACCGGAGGAAGGUGGGGAUGACGUCAAAUCAUCAUGCCCCUUAUGACCUGGGCUACACACGUGCUACAAUGGUUGGUACAACGAGUUGCGAGUCGGUGACGGCGAGCUAAUCUCUUAAAGCCAAUCUCAGUUCGGAUUGUAGGCUGCAACUCGCCUACAUGAAGUCGGAAUCGCUAGUAAUCGCGGAUCAGCACGCCGCGGUGAAUACGUUCCCGGGCCUUGUACACACCGCCCGUCACACCACGAGAGUUUGUAACACCCGAAGUCGGUGAGGUAACCUUUGGAGCC